AAUGUCGCCGGCGACCGGCGGCCGGCCAUCGUGCGUGGUGGUUCCGGCGGUGGCUCCGGUGGGCUAUGGAGAUGAUUCAACUUCCAGAGGCUUCCUCAUAAAUUUUUGGAAUUUUUGAGACACAGAUAAACUUUGGGUGAUCGAGGUCAGCUAUUUUUCUGCAUCCAGCAGCCACAAUAGUCAUCGGUGUACUGCCACAGGAGGAGUUAUUUUACAGAGCAACCUGUUUUCUUCCUCGUAGGUUUAACGUCGAUUAUUUAAUUGUUUUACUAUCUUUUCUAAAUUUAAAAUCUAGAACUUCGCAUGUGUUAGUAAUAGUAUGGACCUUGUUAGAAAUUGUGUUAAAUUAAAUUUUUGAGAUUUAUAAAUGAAGAUUUGUAUGGUAUUUAAACAGUUUGUAAAUGAGGUAACAGGAUUGAGCUGGGCUCCCCUAAUUUUAAGUUUUCUGAAAAUUUCUGGGCUAAGUUGGCCCGAAAUGAAAUUAUAACAGUUUAAUUUAAAUUAUCUUAUAUGCAUAUUGGGUCUAAAUUGUGGGCCUGGUUAUGGAUUUGAGGAAUAGUUAGGCUUACUACGGUCCUCGGGGGCUUUAAGCUGGCCCAGGUCCUAGUG